CCAAUAGCGUAUAUUAAAGUUGUUGCAGUUAAAAAGCUCGUAGUUGAAUUUCGGGAUCAAGGAAUCGGUCAUGCCUCGGUAUGUACUGGUUUUAUUGGUUCUCACCUUCUAAAGAACCAUAAUGUCAUUCAUUUGAUGUUAUGGGGAAUUAGGACUGUUACUUUGAAAAAAUUAGAGUGUUUAAAGCAGGCUCACGCUUGAAUACAUUAGCAUGGAAUAACGGAAUAGGACGUUUGAUUCUAUUUUGUUGGUUUCUAGGAUCGACGUAAUGAUUAAUAGGGAUAGUUGGGGGCAUUAGUAUUCAAUUGUCAGAGGUGAAAUUCUUGGAUUUAUUGAAGACUAACUACUGCGAAAGCAUUUGCCAAGGAUGUUUUCAUUAAUCAAGAACGAAAGUUAGGGGAUCGAAGACGAUCAGAUACCGUCGUAGUCUUAACCAUAAACUAUGCCGACUAGGGAUCGGAUGAUGUUAAUUUUUUAAUGACUCAUUCGGCGCCUUACG
rnacentral:rRNA from 1 species